rnacentral:rRNA from 1 species
UAGAGAGAGACAUGCGCGCAUAUCAAUAAGCGGAGGAAAAGAAACUAACUAGGAUUCCCUCAGUAACGGCGAGUGAAGCGGGAAGAGCUCAAAUUUGAAAUCUUCAAGGUUCUACCUUGACGAAUUGUAGUUUAAAGAAGUGUUUUCUGUUGAGGUUUUGGUAAAAGUUCUUUGGAAUAGGACAUCAUAGAGGGUGAGAAUCCCGUAUUUGACCUUUACUUUCAACUUUGUGAUACACUUUCAAAGAGUCGGAUUGUUUGGGAAUGCAGUCCAAAAUGGGUGGUAAAUUUCAUCUAAAGCUAAAUAUUGGCGAGAGACCGAUAGCGAACAAGUACCGUGAGGGAAAGAUGAAAAGAACUUUGAAAAGAGAGUUAAACAGUACGUGAAAUUGUCAAAAGGGAAGCGUUUGACACCAGUGUUGUUUUUCUGAAAAUCAAUUAAAGAACUGUUUAUGCUAAGUUGUUUAGACUUUAUCAGCUAUCUGUUUAGUUUUGAGCUUUUCUUUAAUGCACUUUUCAGUUAACAAGUCAACAUCAAUUUCUUUUGCUGUAAAAAAGCUUGAGGAAGGUGGCUUGAGAUUCGUCUUAAGUGUUUAUAGCCUCUUGCCUAUGCAGUCGGAGAGAUUGAGGUCUGCAGCGUAGAUCCUUCGGGGCUAAAUGCAUUUGUGCUAAGUUAUAGCAUUUUAUAGACAACUUGUUGACUAUGAUUUGUCUUGUAGCUUACUCGCUUAUGUUAUUUUACCUACGCUUAGGAUGUUGAUGUGAUACUGCGAGCA